GGGAGUUCUUCGGACAAACCUAGCGGCGGACGGGGAGAAACGCGUGGGUAACCUGCCUCAGUGAGGGGGAUAGCCUUCCGAAAGGAAGAUUAAUACCGCAUAAUAUCUGGUGAUCGCAUGAUCAUUUGAUUAAAGGAGUAAUCCGCACUGAGAUGGACCCGCGGCGCAUUAGCUAGUUGGUGAGGUAACGGCUCACCAAGGCCACGAUGCGUAGCCGACCUGAGAGGGUGAUCGGCCACAUUGGAACUGAGAUACGGUCCAGACUCCUACGGGAGGCAGCAGUGGGGAAUAUUGCACAAUGGGCGACGAAGCCUGAUGCAGCAACGCCGCGUGAGUGAUGAAGGCCUUCGGGUUGUAAAGCUCUGUCUUUGGGGACGAUAAUGAUUUUUUUUUUAGGAGGAAGCCACGGCUAACUACGUGCCAGCAGCCGCGGUAAUACGUAGGUGGCAAGCGUUGUCCGGAUUUACUGGGCGUAAAGGAUGCGUAGGUGGAUAUGCAAGUCAGAUGUGAAAUACCCGGGCUUAACUCGGGUGCUGCAUUUGAAACUAUAUAUCUAGAGUGCAGGGAGAGGUAAGUGGGAAUUCCUAGUGUAGCGGUGAAAUGCGUAGAGAUUAGGAAGAACACCAGUGGGCGAAGGCGACUUACUGGGACUGUAACUGACACUGAAGGCAUGAAAGCGUGGGGAGCAAACAGGAUUAGAUACCCUGGUAGUCCACGCCGUAAAUUAUGGGUAACUAGGUGUAGGGGGGUAUCGACUCCCCUCUGUGCCGCAGUUAACACAAUAAGUACCCCGCCUGGGGGAAGUACGGUCGCCAAGAUUAAAACUCAAAAGGAAUUGACGGGGGACCCGCACAAGCAGCGGAGCAUGUGGUUUAAUUCUGAAGCAACGCGAAGAACCUUACCUAGACUUGACAUCCCCCUGCAUAACCUAGAGAUAGGCGAAGUCUCUCUUCGGGCACAGGGUGACAGGUGGUCAGCAUGGUUGUCCUUCAGCUCGUGUCGCGAGAUGUUGGGUUAAAGUCCCGCAACCAGGCGCUACCCUCGUCCGUCGGUUUAUCGGUGGUCCGAGGAAACUGCCCACGAUCACCGUGGAGCGAAGG
rnacentral:rRNA from 1 species